GAGGCAGGAAUUAAGUUGGUGGUAACUGAGGUUAAGUGGUGUGAGCGGAGCAGGACGACCUUGUGAAGAGAGGAGAUCACAGCUGAAAGAAUGGCGACCAUUGUCCCCGACUGCCCCUGGCUGCGCUAAACCCGCCUGAUGCUUAACUAGCUGCUGACUGACAGAAAACCAAGAACACGCAGGGGCUUUACUUUGGACAGCGCCAUGUUUGUUCUGGGGGGCCCUGACGCGGCGCUGCUCGCACCGCGUCC